UUCACGAUGGACCUCCAUCUUCUUUCCGUUGAACUCCAUCUCGUUUCAACCCAGCACCUCAAUCUCCAUUGAACCCUAAAUCCUUAGUUCCUUUGUUUCGACUCAAUACCUCCAGAAAGAACCCACCGUUGAACCCUAAAUUCUUGCUAUGAAUACCUCUGUUUCCCUCACGCCCUUCUUUUAUCGUAUAUGUUUUAGGUUGUUACGCGAAAGGCAAAGAAUCAACAUACCUGGAAAGGCUAGCUUUGGGGAAAUUCGUGUUGCUUUGCAGGUGCUCAAAGAAUAGGGUUUAUCUGUAUGCAGGCCAAAAUGGUUGAAUUAACUUUAAAGUUCCACAAAACAAGAUGAUUUGGUCAACAACUCUGGUAUAAUUGCACCUAGCCGGCGUCGUUAUUUCAUACCAUAACUUAAUUGAUAUGCAAAAACAUGGUUGGGAAGAACCUACAAUUGAUUCAAAGCAACAGUGAAGAAAAGGAGGACCUGGUAUCUGUUCAAGAAUAUGUAGAAGCUAAGGAAGCUAUUCUAACCUGAUCAACUGAUGCAAAUGAGGGACUUCUUGAAAACAUGAGAGGUACUGCUGACUUGGUUUGGAAAAUGGCAGAGGAGUGUGCUUAGGUUAAUUUUAGUUUGAUUGCUUUGGUGUUUUGAACUCAUCAGCUGGUUGCAGGAAAUGGUAUGCUGGGAGCUUAUUGUACUUAACACCUUUAUAUAUUCAGCUAGCUUCUUGAGAUCAUAGAACCUUUGUAUUAGCAUUAGCAUAAGUUUGUUUUGGUGGUGAGAGUUAUAUGUACUUAGCUUCUUGAAUAUUGUUUCAGCCCACAUAAAUCUUGUAUAUUAUUCAUGUUAUAUAUUGGAAAUAUUACUUUUUUGUCCUCUAUAAAGUUUUCAUUUUAUUA